GACGAACGCUGGCGGCGUGCUUAACACAUGCAAGUCGAACGAAGUGGCGAACGGGUGAGUAAUGCGUAAUCAACCUGCCCUUCAGAGGGGGUCAACAGUUGGAAACGACUCCUAAUACCGCACCCUGCUGGAGGGGACUGUGUUUGCUUAGCUAGGUGGCGGGGUAACGGCCCACCAAGGCGAUGAUCAGUAUCCGGUCUGGGAGGGUGGACGGCCACAUUGGGAAUGAGACACGGCCCAGACUCCUACGAGAGGCAGCAGUGGGGAAUCGUCCGCAAUGGGCGGAAGUCUGACGGAGCAACGCCGCGGGAGUGAUGACGGCCUUCGGGUUGUAAAGCUCUGUUAAGCGGGACGCGGUACCGGAAUAGAAAGCCACGGCUAACUACGUGCCAGCAGCCGCGGUAAUAC
rnacentral:rRNA from 1 species